rnacentral:rRNA from 1 species
AACGAACGCUGGCGGCAUGCCUAACACAUGCAAGUCGAACGAUGCUUUCGGGCAUAGUGGCGCACGGGUGCGUAACGCGUGGGAAUCUGCCCUUGGGUUCGGAAUAACAGUGAGAAAUUGCUACUAAUACCGGAUGAUGUCUUCGGACCAAAGAUUUAUCGCCCAGGGAUGAGCCCGCGUAGGAUUAGCUAGUUGGUGGGGUAAUGGCCUACCAAGGCGACGAUCCUUAGCUGGUCUGAGAGGAUGAUCAGCCACACUGGGACUGAGACACGGCCCAGACUCCUACGGGAGGCAGCAGUGGGGAAUAUUGGACAAUGGGCGCAAGCCUGAUCCAGCAAUGCCGCGUGAGUGAUGAAGGCCUUAGGGUUGUAAAGCUCUUUUACCCGGGAUGAUAAUGACAGUACCGGGAGAAUAAGCUCCGGCUAACUCCGU